CAGAAGAAUAAAAAGAGAAACCCUGGCAUAAUAGUCAAAAACUGAGCAGAGAGAAUGCAGACACAGAUACCUCUAGGCAGUCACAGUGGCAGCAAUAUUUCAGUUUAAUUUAUUUGGGAGACUGAAACCACAGCCUGAAAAUUGGGACAACCACUUUGUUUGUUGGUUUCUCCAGAACAACCAGAGUUUAAAUCUUUAUUCACAAACAGCAAAGAGAUCAGAUUUGUUUUCUUUCAGCCUCUGAUCCAGCCUCUCCACACCUGCCCUGAGAGAUGUGCUUGGGUAUCGUACUUUAGUGGAGUGACUUCUUAGAUGGUGAAGCUGGAUCAGAGGCUGAGAG